rnacentral:lncRNA from 1 species
GCCCCUUGGCCCCAGUGCUCAUUCCUGGCCAUCACAGGCCCAGAGCACAUGACGAAACCCAUCCCAAGCCCCCAGACCAGACGCCAAGAGGAGGGGGUGGAGGCAGCAAGGCUGGAGGCAUGUGUAGAAUAAAUAGAACUUUAUUCUUUAUCCAGUAGAUCUCAGUGGAAAGCCCAACAGUAACAGGUGCACCCACGGGCUCCAGGGGAAGGGGCCCCAACCCCUGGUGAAGGAGGUCGGGGCAGAGCCAGCUCCCCCAGCUGGGGGUGCAGGGGUGAGGGGAGACCCCCCUGUAGGCCCGUCCUGCGGGGUAAGGAGGGGGCACGGGGGUGGGACAGGUUGGGGGUGGGGGGCAGGCCAGGGAAAUGGAGGAACUCGGGCCAAGUGUGUGUCGGCCCAUCUACUGUCCAGUGUGUGUGUGUUUGUGUGUGUGCGCACGCGCAUGUGUGUGGUGUCUGGGGGCCCUAUGGGGGUGCUGGUGGCUGAGGCCGGGGGUGGGGGCAGGGCUGGUGCGGGGUCACAUGGUCGGUAGAAAG